UACGUAGGGGGCAAGCGUUGUCCGGAAUCAUUGGGCGUAAAGAGCGUGUAGGCGGCCCGGUAAGUCCGCUGUGAAAGUCCAGGGCUCAACCCUGGGAUGCCGGUGGAUACUGUCGGGCUCGAGUCCGGAAGAGGAGUGUGGAAUUCCUGGUGUAGCGGUGAAAUGCGCAGAUAUCAGGAGGAACACCGAUAGCGAAGGCAGCUCGCUGGGACGGUACUGACGCUGAGGCGCGAAAGCGUGGGGAGCGAACAGG
rnacentral:rRNA from 1 species